GGUUGAGAGUACCUGAAGAAUAAGCACCGGCUAACUACGUGCCAGCAGCCGCGGUAAUACGUAGGGUGCAAGCGUUAAUCGGAAUUACUGGGCGUAAAGCGUGCGCAGGCGGACUUUUAAGCCAGAUGUGAAAGCCCCGAGCUUAACUUGGGAAUUGCGUUUGGAACUGGGAGUCUAGAGUCUGUCAGAGGGGGAUGGAAUUCCACGUGUAGCAGUGAAAUGCGUAGAGAUGUGGAGGAACACCGAUGGCGAAGGCAGUCCCCUGGGAUAAGACUGACGCUCAUGCACGAAAGCGUGGGGAGCAAACAGGAUUAGAUACCCUGGUAGUCCACGCCCUAAACGAUGUCUACUAGUUGUUGGGGUAGCAAUACCUCAGUGACGCAGCUAACGCGUGAAGUAGACCGCCUGGGGAGUACGGUCGCAAGAUU
rnacentral:rRNA from 1 species